ensembl:lncRNA
CUGGCCUGUUUAUUGGCUUUUGUGCAACGAGCAGCCGGACCUUGCACACUCCUCUAGGUACCAAUUCUAUUUUUACAGAGCAAAGCCUCCAGUCUGCAGCAGAGUCUAGGUCCUAUAACUUGGAGCUAUGCACUCAACUUGAUAUUUUGAAAAGCCAAGUUUUUGUCUGUGACUCUAUAAUCAGGUAUGUUUUAGCCUAUCAUUGCGUUUUGAUGCCGGGUUUGCUGGGAAAGAUUGAAGGCGGGAGAAGAAGGGGACGACAGAGGAUGAGAUGGCUGGAUGGCAUCACUGACUCGAUGGACGUGAGUUUGAGUGAACUCAGGGAGUUGGUGAUGGACAGGGAGGCCUGGCGUGCUGUGAUUCAUGGGGUCGCAAAGAGUUGGAUACGACUGAGCGACUGAACUGAACGAAACUGAACUUAACCCUAAGGACUUCUCAUAACUCCCUCUGACUCAUAAACCAUGCCAAUCUGUUGCAAUGAUUUUGGAUAUGACUUUCUGUUAUGUAUAUAGAUAUAACCUGUCUGUUAUGACUGUAAAGGGGCACACACAGCAAGGAUAAUAUUGUAAGCAGCAUCUUGGUGAGUGAAAAACACUUAGGGUACUUGAGAUGCUAUGAAAUGCGAUACUUUUCAAGUGUUCUUUUUUUAAUGGAGCUAAAGCUUGCUUUAUUAAUUUAAUUUUAAAUUUAUUUUUAAUUGAAGGAUAAUUGCUUUAUGGAAUUGUAUUGGUUUCUACCAAACAUCAACGAAAAUCAGUCAAGUGUUCUUUUUAAAAUGAAUUUUACUUGGUAUAUUAUUUAUUGAAUGUAGUAAUUUAAUGCUGAUAGAAUGUUACCAUGUAGUAAUGCAACAUGUUACAGUGUUUUAAUGUCUAAUAACAUCUCCAAAAUGAGCCUUAUUAAAUCCUGCUAAGGGGAAACUUCCUUCUCAUGUUUUGAGACAGAGAAGGCAAACAAGUUCUGAGACUAUCAGAGAUUUCUCUGGCCAGCUCCAGAGGCACCAAAUUUAUCUGUGACCCAGAUUUGAUCUGGAGCUGAGCGGAAGGAUGCCAAGUUGAAGCCAAGUUUACACUCUGAUUCCUCUGACUCAAGUGGCUUUAUUCAAAAGGAGCUGAGUAGGAAUGAGCUGAGGUUAGAGGCAAC